AAAAGAGAUGAAUUCCGAAAACUGAUGGAAGAUGCUCAUCUUAAUGGAAAAGAUCAUUAUUUAGUGAAUUAAGUCAACGUUAUGGACGCCACGAUCACAACAAAACCAUCGAAAAAGUACGUGAAUGUGAAAGUUUUUUUCAAAGAGUACAUUGUCGAUUUUCUUCUCAAGAAAGAAGAGGAUAAAAUUCAGAAAAAGAAAAAGCAGCCUCAUACUACCACCAUCUUGUUGGGAUGCGUCUGCGAUCUCUUGUGCUAAUCUAUAUGCCAUUGUUUAUUGGUGCUUUGAUUCGUCAUGAAGUCGAAAAGAAGGAUAAAUGGAUUCAAGAGUUUUUGCAAUGUUGACUGCUGCUUUAACUGAUAACGAAACCAGUGGAAAUAUGGCUACUCAAGUGAUAUAUAAAAUUUGUAUAACUAUGACCUAUUUGGUGCCAUUCAUUUUUAUACACAAGACUGUUGAAUUGACGGACCAGAAGUCGAUUGCUAUGAUUAUUAAGUUUCUUCAAGCUUUUGUCGUCGAGGACUCUCUGAUAAGGUUAUUCAAACUUUUGGAGUAUCCCCAACUACACUCAACAAACAUUCGUUUGUUGUUGGACUUUCACUUGGAAGCUUCGAAAAACACUCAGUUGGAUAGCUCAGUGCGUGUAAACACUGGCAUCUAUUGGCUGGUUGGGGCGCUUGAAUAAGAAGGUAAUUGUCAGGCAAGAGCUCGUUGAACUCAUCAUUCAGGUUGUCUUGAAUCCAAUUGAGGCAUUACCCUCCAGUGGUGGAGAUGAAAAACAUGGCGCUGACACACCACCGUUGCUGGAAAGGAAAAUAACAUGCAUAUUUUGAUUCUUUCGUGGUUGGCUGCAGCCACUGAAGCAUGCAAUGCUGAAUUUAAAAGUCAAGAGUUUGCUUCGGCAAAAAGUGCUUCAUAUUGUUGUAAUAUACCUAGAGUGCUUAAAUGAACAUUAAAAUAAA